rnacentral:rRNA from 1 species
GAUGAACGCUAGCUACAGGCUUAACACAUGCCAGUCGAGGGACCGACGCACGGGUGAGCAACACGUAUCCAACCUGCCCUUUACUCGGGGAUAGCCUUUCGAAAGAAAGAUUAAUACCCGAUAUAAAGGAUGGGGAUGCGUUCCAUUAGGUUGUUGGUGAGGUAACGGCACACCAAGCCUUCGAUGGAUAGGGGUUCUGAGAGGAAGGUCCACCACAUUGUAACGGAGACACGGGCCCAAAUCCUACGGGAGGCAGCAGUGAGGAAUAUUGGUCAAUGGGCGCUAGCCUGAACCAGCCAAGUAGCGUGAAGGAUGAAGGCUUAUGGGUCGUAAACUUCUUUUAUAUAAGAAUAUGUAUUAUAUGAAUAAGGAUCGGCUAACUCCGUGCGAGCAGCCGCGUAAUUC